AACAGGAGCAUCUCUGACUUCCAUGCUGCCAAAUCCCCAGUGCUUGAGGGAGGCCCCAGCCUAAACCCAGCUCAAUGCCCUGAGGGUGUUGCUGUCACCUUUCUCACCCGCUUCCAAACUUCACUGAUCCUGCUACACCUCCCUUCACCACCUGGGGCUUUUUUUAAAGGUUGAAUUCACAUCCUCCAUUUGCUCUCAUAAUGACAGCUCUGCCUGCCCUCCUAGAACCCAAGAGUCAGCCAGCACAGGGUUUGGAGGCUUCUGGGGGAGCUGUUCUUCAGGGCCUUCUCUGCUGAGGCCUGGCUGAGGUCAGGUACGGGGUUUCUUUGAGGAUUCGAUGGGACCACCUGCCUUUUCAAGUCUUCCCACCCUCCAGCUAUCAGAAAGCUGCAUCCUCCACUAGCAUCUGGGGAAUUCUGACAGGUGGAUCUGAGGUCACAGCAUGACAUCUAAUGGAUAAAUCUAGCAGGUGGUGGAGGACUGAACUGGAACUCAGGAAAGAGGACAAAGAGUGCAGAAGUGAUGCUAUGCCAGUUCCUGCCAGCUUCCACUUGUGUACUUUUGGAAGCUCUGAGCCACUGUGUAAGAAGUUCAGCGACACAGCUGGAGAGGUCAUGUGGCGCAGAGGGGACCUGAGACUACAUGGAGAAAGAGGCCCAGCCUUUCCAAUGCCCUACUUGAGUCUUCAUAUGACUGCCAUCUGACUACAACCUCAUGAGAGACCCCAAGUGAGACCAGCAGAAUUGCCCAGCUGAGCCCAGUCAAUUUGCAGAACUGUGAGAGAUAAUGAUUGUUUUAAGCCACUCAAUUUUGGGGUGUUUGUUAUGCUGCAAUAAGUAACUAAAACACCACUCUGUAU
rnacentral:lncRNA from 10 species